rnacentral:lncRNA from 1 species
CUGAAGCUGCCCACCUAAUUGCCCUUUUUCCUCUGAUUCAUCUCUUUUUUUGUUUUUCCCCAGCUCUCUGCAGUGGGAGAAGUGAGAGAAACUAAGCUGCAUCGUGCAAGGCUGGAGAUGGAGAGGAGGAAGUUGGAGCCUCCUCAGUGAACUUCAGCUUUUCUGCUAUGGGGGAACUGGUGGGAAAAGUUCAGAAAAGAAUCCUCCAGGUGUGAAGUCUGAUGUCAGUCAGCCUCAGAAAACCAGCACCAGCUGAGCUGAGGACCUGCAAGCAAGUGUCAGACCCAGGGACCUUGAUAAUGAGACACCAACAGCCUGUCCUUUUCUAGUUGUUGAGACCGUGCAUUCCCUCUUGUUGUGCAAUUUGUGGUGGCUUUACAGAUUUUGAUGCCAACCUGAAGGACAAACCCCAAGCUUUUGGAUGCUGCUCAGCCAG